rnacentral:rRNA from 1 species
AGAGUUUGAUCAUGGCUCAGGACGAACGCUGGCGGCGUGCCUAACACAUGCAAGUCGAACGGAGAUACGAUUUCGGUUGUAUCUUAGUGGCGAACGGGUGAGUAACGCGUGAGCAACCUGACUCUUAGAGGGGGAUAACACUCGGAAACGGGUGCUAAUACCGCAUAAGACCACGACAUGGCAUCAUGACGAGGUCAAAGGAGCAAUCCGCUGAGAGAGGGGCUCGCGUCCCAUUAGAUAGAUGGCGGGGUAACGGCCCACCAUGUCAGCGAUGGGUAGCCGAGCUGAGAGGCUGAUCGGCCACACUGGAACUGAGAUACGGUCCAGACUCCUACGGGAGGCAGCAGUGGGGAAUAUUGGGCAAUGGGCGCAAGCCUGACCCAGCAACGCCGCGUGAGGGAAGAAGGCUUUCGGGUUGUAAACCUCUGUCCUUGGUGACGAAAAAAAUGACGGUAGCCAAGGAGGAAGCCCCGGCUAACUACGUGCCAGCAGCCGCGGUAAUACGUAGGGGGCGAGCGUUGUCCGGAAUUACUGGGCGUAAAGGGUGCGUAGGUGGGUUCCUAAGUCGAUGGUGAAAUCCUGCAGCUUAACUGCAGAACUGCCUUCGAUACUGGGGAUCUUGAGUGCGGCAGAGGGAGAUGGAAUUCAUGGUGUAGCGGUGAAAUGUGUAGAUAUCAUGAAGAACACCGGUAGCGAAGGCGGUCUCCUGGUCCGCAACUGACACUGAGGCGCGAAAGCGUGGGGAGCAAACAGGAUUAGAUACCCUGGUAGUCC